GACGAACGCUGGCGGCGUGCCUAAUGCAUGCAAGUUGAGCGCUGAAGGUUGGUACUUGUACCAACUGGAUGAGCAGCGAACGGGUGAGUAACGCGUGGGGAAUCUGCCUUUGAGCGGGGGACAACAUUUGGAAACGAAUGCUAAUACCGCAUAAAAACUUUAAACACAAGUUUUAAGUUUGAAAGAUGCAAUUGCAUCACUCAAAGAUGAUCCCGCGUUGUAUUAGCUAGUUGGUGAGGUAAAGGCUCACCAAGGCGAUGAUACAUAGCCGACCUGAGAGGGUGAUCGGCCACAUUGGGACUGAGACACGGCCCAAACUCCUACGGGAGGCAGCAGUAGGGAAUCUUCGGCAAUAGACGAAAGUCUGACCGAGCAACGCCGCGUGAGUGAAGAAGGUUUUCGGAUCGUAAAACUCUGUUGGUAGAGAAGAACGUUGGUGAGAGUGGAAAGCUCAUCAAGUGACGGUAACUACCCAGAAAGGGACGGCUAACUACGUG
rnacentral:rRNA from 1 species